GCGAGCCCGAACUCCACUAGCGUUUUUCACCACGUUUGACUGCCUACCCUUAGUCCUGAGAAGGUCGUGGGGCCUGCAAAUAAAGAUGACAACACAGUGACCAUCAUCGUGGCCGUCCUCUGUUCCCUGGGUUUCCUGGUUCUGCUGGUGGCUGGCGCGUUCUGUGUGAGGAGGAUGCGGCAGGGACCACAGAGGCUCCGGGAAACACCGAAUGUGCGCGACCACGUGACGUUCUCCGUGCCCGACAAUGACGUCAAGUUCGAGAACCCGCUGUACGGAGAGGUGUUCGAGAAAACAGCGCCCCCUGUCGAGACGAAGGGGCGCGACAACCCGGCCUUAGAAUUGGAGCUGAACGGAGCUGAUUGCUAACCUUUGACCCCGAUGUUGGAUUUUUGUAUACUGUCAUACUUUGUAAUUAUAAUUUUUAUCAAAAAGAUUUGGAUUUCCACAAGAUAAGAUAUCUAAUCAACAAUGUCGAAGUGAGUUGAAAAAACUGAGAAAAAGUCAAAGUAAGUUGUAAUCACUGUACAAUCUGUGAAAUUCAUUUGUCACAUUUUCUGAUAAAUAGAUCAAAAUUAAUAACAUUCUUUUUAAAGAGAAAUCGAAUAUUCACUUUGCAAAACCUUAUGAAAACCGAUGAAGAGAUACAUACAGCAAGCUAGUUAUUCUAUACAUAUUUCGCACUACAAGAUUCAGUAACGGUAUAAAUGUUGGAUUAAGAUUUCUAUUGCAGAGAUUCAUGUAAAGCACGAAACAAUUUAGCCUUUUGAUUGCUAUACCCUUCUUUUAUCAAUAAACCAUUUGAUUGAUUGAUUAAUUGAUUGAUGGGUUGAUCGAUCUAUUGAUUAUUGUAAAAAAAAAGAUAAGGUCACCAAAUAAAAAAACAGAAACUGUA